GUACUCAGUUUAGCAGAACAUACGCUGAAAUUACAAUGAUACAGAGAAGAUUAGAAUAGCCCCUGUGCAAGGAUGACAUUCAAAUUCAUGAUUCAUUCCAUAUUUUU